UGCCCCAUGGCUGAGUUGGUUACAGCGUCCGACUGUUAAAUAUAGCGGCAUCGGAAGGUCGUGAGUUCGAGCCUCACUGGGGCAG